rnacentral:sRNA from 1 species
AGUAUUGCAUAUCCAGGAUUCAGAAUCUCCUCCUCAUCUACCUUCCUUGGCUCCUUUGACAUCUCUGUGGAAACAUUAUUGACACUAUGUUUUCUUUUCUUAAACAGGUGGACUCUGCAUUGCCCAGUCCGUGAGAAUCCCCCAGGAACGCAAAGACAGGACCAUUGACUUUGAUAGAAUUAUCAAACAGCUCCUGGACACCCCCAACUCCAGGGCCGUCGUGAUUUUUGCCAACGACGAGGAUAUAAAGCAGAUCCUUGCAGCAGCCAAAAGAGCUGACCAAGUUGGCCAUUUUCUUUGGGUGGGAUCAGACAGCUGGGGAUCCAAAAUAAACCCACUGCACCAGCAUGAAGAUAUCGCAGAAGGGGCCAUCACCAUUCAGCCCAAACGAGCCACAGUGGAAGGGUUUGAUGCCUACUUUACGUCCCGUACACUUGAAAACAAUAGAAGAAAUGUAUGGUUUGCCGAAUACUGGGAGGAAAACUUCAACUGCAAGUUGACAAUUAGUGGGUCAAAAAAAGAAGACACAGAUCGCAAAUGCACAGG